GUACGUACUGGCAUUGUUGGUUUCUCCCUUCUGACGAACCAUGAUGUCAUUUAUUUGGUGUUGUGGGGAAUCAGGACUGUUACUUUGAAAAAAUUAGAGUGUUUAAAGCAGGCUCACGUUUGAAUACAUUAGCAUGGAAUAAUGAAAUAGGACGUUUGAUUCUAUUUUAUUGGUUUCUAGGAUCGACGUAAUGAUUAAUAGGGAUAGUUGGGGGCAUUAGUAUUCAAUUGUCAGAGGUGAAAUUCUUGGAUUUAUUGAAGACUAACUACUGCGAAAGCAUUUGCCAAGGAUGUUUUCAUUAAUCAAGAACGAAAGUUAGGGGAUCGAAGACGAUCAGAUACCGUCGUAGUCUUAACCAUAAACUAUGCCGACUAGGGAUCGGAUGAUGUUAAUUUUUUAAUGACUCAUUCGGCGCCUUACG
rnacentral:rRNA from 1 species